rnacentral:lncRNA from 1 species
CUUUUUAAAUUCUCGGCAUAGUGUAAUGAUUACUAUUCCAAAACAGAAGAUAUGUUGGCAAACUGCCCUGUAUUUGAAAAUAGAGGAAAUGCCCUGGAAAGAAUGAGAUGUGGUAAAGAGAGGAAAUGACAAUGUACUGAAAAGACUGGGCUGUAAGUCAUCACAGCGGCGCCCUGAAACCCGAUAUGUCAGGCAAGCUGGUGGGAUCCUGGGAUCCCUCAUGUAACGGCACUCAUUCUGACAGAAGCAGAGAUAAAACAGACUAAGUACACAGAGGAGUUUAAGGUUUCGUGAAUGUAAGUGCUGAGUACAGAAUGGUGCUCAAUAAAAGCUUGUUAAUUGAUGGACCACAGGUUUGUGACAAGACUUCUCAGAGUCUGAUUCUUUCAAGGUGGGAUAUAAGAGUAAGUAAAUGGCAUGGGGAAAAUCUGAUUGCCACAGACAGAAGAAUGAAACUGGAUGCCUAUUUCUCACAAUACACAAAAGCGAUUCAAGAUUAAAGACUUAACUGUAAGACUUGAAACUGUAAAAAUACUAGAAGAAAAUCUAGGGAAAACUGUUCUGGACAUUGGCCUAGAAAAAGAAUUUCUGACUAAGACUUCAAAAGCACAGUAAACAAAAAUAGACAAACGGGACUUAAUGAAACUAAAACUCUUCUGCAGAGCAAAGAAAAUAAGAAACAGAGUGAACAGACAACCUGCAAAAUGGGAGAUAGACAAUGGAGACUAAGAAGAGCAAAGGAAUGACAGAGAGGUGGAGGAUGAGAAAUUACUUAAUGGAUACCUUGACUAUGAAUAAUAGUUUCAAUAAGGAAGACAGAAUGAGUUCUGACACGAUGGUUGGGAGCUGUGACAGGCAGACGAAAAAUGGAGCCAAAUGGCAUGGAGGUGUCAUGAUGUUGGAACAGUAACAAUAACUCAACCAACCAGGGCUUGUCUGAAUACAAUCCUACAGCAGCAGGAGCUGUGGAGAUAUAGAAGGCAAGGAAGACCAGGUUGUGAGGGAAGACGAAUUUACUCCCAGGAAUGUUGGGAUUGAGAGUAAUAUUCUCCAAUAAUGGUGGAAGACAGAACAAUAAAAGCCCACCAGCUCCUUCUGCAUGGUGGGAUAAGAGAAAAGCCAAGGGCAGAAGUGAGAAAAAUAACCAUCACCAAACUGAAAAGAAAACCUUUAUAAAAAAACUGGAUUGAUAAAUGACCUUUAGUAGUGGAAAGAUACCAUUCCAAUGAAGCAUGAAUUGAAAGGAUUUCUUCUGAAAGCUAAUUUACAUUUUUCUUUUUUUUUUUUUCAUUUUCAGUGUGUUUUAGCAGGUGUAUUGUUCUACAUGGUUAGUUUCUUUACCUCUUUGAGAAAAAUGGGUCAGCUUGACACAUCUGGAUGAAAGAAUCCGUUAGGUGAUUAUGAUUGAAGACAGAUUAAGCCUUGUUAUGAGGGGAAUAUUUGGGGGCUUACCCUGAGGUGAUAUUUGAUGAUUUAGCUGUGGGAGAAUUUCCCUCCCAAGAUCAGCGUGACUGACACUGAAAUUGCUACAGGGGAACCGGACCUUUCCAAGAGGUGACAAGGACAUUUACCUGGUACAACACAAUGGUUCUGGACUGGAAGUCUAGUCCCAUUGAUGAAGUUCCCAAAAGAUGUCCAGGUCCUAAUCCCUGGAAUCUGUGAAUAUGUCAUCUUACACAUCAAAAGAACUUUGAAAAUGUGAUUGAGGUUAAGGACCUUGGAAUGAGGAGAUUACCUUGGAUUAUCUGGUUGGGUCCAAGCUAAUCACAUGAGUCCUUAAAGGAGAAGAACCUUUUUUAGCUGGGUCAGAGAGAGAUGUGAUGAUGAAAACAGGCUCAGGGAGAUGCACUGUAAGAAGGGCUUGACCAGUUGUUUUUGACUUUGAAGAUGGAGGGAAGGGCCAGGAGCCAAGGAAGGUGGGUGGCUUUUGGAAGGUGGAAAAAGCAAGGGAACAUUCUCUCCAGAGCCUCCAGAAAGGAGCUCAGCCCUGUUGACAUCUUUGUUUUUAUUUUUUAUUUUUAGUAGCAUUGAGGUCUCACUAUGUUGCACAGGCUGGUCUUGAACUCUUGAGCUCAAGCACUCCUCCCGCCUUGGCUUCCCAAAGUGCUGGGAUUAUAGGCAUGUGCCACCACAUCUGGCUUCCUACUGACAUCUUAACUUUAGUGCAGUGAGACUCAUAUUUGAAUUUCUGACCUUAUAUUAUAGAACCAUAAGACAUUAUAGAAUUAUAUAGAAUUAUAGAACCAUAAGACAAUAACUUUGUGUUGUUUUAAGAUACUAAAUUUUUGGUAAUUUGUUAUGGCAGCACAAUAAAACCAAUAUAGCAUUAUAUUAUGCCAAUAUCAUCUCUUUGUUGACUAUUGCUAUUAUAGUUUGUUUUAUGGGUCUUGUGUAAACAAUCAAGCUAUAAUAUUGGGUUAACUCCCUAAGGAAAACUUGGAAUAUAGAACAUUAUUUUAAAGACUGAAUUAGGUAAAUACACCUGCCAGUGAAUACAUUAACAAAUUAAUUAAUAUAUUCACUCUUUUCACUCACAAAUACUUUUUGAGCCCCUAUUACUAGCCAAACAUUUUGUUAGAUUCUGAGAAGGGUCUGCUAGACAACAUUGUGACUAUAGUUAAUAACAAUAUAUUGUACUCUUGAAAAUUACUAAGAGAGUAGAUUUUAAGUGUUCUCACCACAAAAAAUAAGUAUGUGAGGUAAUGCAGAUGUUAGUUAGCUUGAUUUAGCCAUUCCCCAGUGUAUACAUAUUUCAAACCUUCAUAUUAUACAUGGAUAAAUAUAUACAAUUUUUAUUUGUCAAUUAAAAGCCCCUCGAUGAAUACAGUUUCCAUUCUGUCCUUGAGGUGGAGCUUGUAGACUUGGUGGGGUCCGGGGAUCAACUUUUAAACAGGCAGUUCCAAAGUGUGGAGUGGAUAGGCUUAUUCUCUUUGUUGCUUUUAUGAUAGGUAUUUAGAAUGCACUUUCCUCUGUUAAGUUAAGCCAGCCACCAUUCCCUCAUUCAGUUUCCAUCCUCCAUGAAUUUGCUCACAUCUGCGGUCUACUGUCACUCAUUCUUUCCUUCUCUUCCUGAGGGCUUGUGUGACUUAUGUUCUUGGCUUUCUCUUAGGAACAUGGUGCAGCUUGGCCCUGCAUUAUCCAUCUGGAAAAACAGAUCAUAAAACAGUCCUUCUCUGUACUAAGUGCUAAAGUAGGAGGAAGGGCAUAAGUCAGCUCCCUGAGCUAUAUAUCCUUGUUUUCAGGAGCUGAGCUAGACACAAGCAGAACUUGCAAAUAAUUUACAUUUCUUUCUGCUGAGGUGGUUCAGAAUAAGUUGCAACAAACAUGAACAGGAAUGGUGCAGUAAAU